UCUUUGUAAAAGAUUUAUUCUUUCUGAUGCUAGAAAACCAAAAAUAUCAAAGACAAAUUUAAUGAAAGCAUGUUGAUUGUCGAAACACAUUUUCUCAUACUUGACCACUUUACUUAAAGUGGCUUUGAGAGUUAUUUGUCCCAUGAUAAAACCUCGUGUCCUCAGUCCCACUAGUGGGGAUACUCAUGCUAAAUUUGCACAUGCAUGUUUUC
rnacentral:lncRNA from 1 species